AUGAUAUCGUGGCUGAAUCUUCUCUUGAUUCUAGCAGCCCUUGCAGAUGUCCGGUCCCAGGUUCUUCUGGUGGAGUCCGGAGGUGGAAUUCAGAAGCCCGGGGGAUCUCUCCGCCUCUCCUGCAAAGCCUCCGGGUUCACCUUCACCAGCUACCAUAUGAGCUGGGUCCGCCAGGCGCCCGGGAAGGGCCUGGAGUGGGUAUCACGGAUAUACAGCCCUGCUAAUAGCCACAGCACGUUUUACAGUGAUGCCGUUAAAGGGCGAUUCACCAUCUCCAGAGACGACUCCAACAGCCUGGUGUAUCUGCAAAUGACCAGCCUGAAAGCGGAAGACACCGGCCGCUAUUACUGUGCGAAAUCAGGGCUUCCGUCCUCUAAAAAUGCACAUUGGUAA